rnacentral:rRNA from 1 species
UUAAGAUAGUAAGAGCAUACGGUGGAUGCCUUGGCGAUAUCUGCCGAUGAAGGACGCGACAAGCUGCGAAAAGCUGCGGUGAGGUGCAAAUGACCUUUGACCCGCAGAUGUCCGAAUGGAGCAAUCCGGCUGUGGUUAUGCACAGUCACCCAUGCCUAUGAGUAUGGGAGGGAACCAGGCGAACUGAAACAUCUAAGUAGCCUGAGGAGAAGUAAUCAAACGAGAUACCCCCAGUAGCGGCGAGCGAACGGGGCAGAAGCCCAAACCGCAGAAGGAAACUUUUACGGGGUUGAGGGCCGUCAUACGAACGUGGAAUCCAGCUGAAGCUUCUGGGAAGGAGCGCCGCAGGAUGUGAAAGCCAUGUAAGCGAAAGAGGAAGCGGAACAGACGGUACCAGAGUACCGCGGGACACGAGAAACCCCGUGGGAAGCAGGGGGGACCACCCUCCAAGGCAAAACACAGAUAUCGACCGAUAGCGCAUAGUACCAUGAGGGAAAGGUGAAAAGCACCCCGGGAGGGGAAUGAAACAGAACCUGAAACCGUAUGUUUACAAGCAGUCGGAGACCGUAUAUAUAUCAGGUCGACGGCGUGCCUAUUGAAGAAUGAACCGGCGAGUUAUGAGGUCCAGCGAGGUUAAGCAGGAAAUGCGGAGCCGAAGCGAAAGCGAGUCUUAACAGGGCGAAUAGUUGGACUGCAUAGACCCGAAACCACAGUGAUCUACCCAUGUCCAGGUUGAAGCACAGGUAAAAAUGUGUGGAGGACCGAACCUAUAUCCGUUGAAAAGGGUUAGGAUGAGGUGUGGGUAGGGGUGAAAUUCCAAUCGAACGUGGAGAUAGCUGGUUCUCCCCGAAAUAGCUUUAGGGCUAGCCUCAGGGUAAAGAUUGCAGGCGGUAGAGCACUGAUCAGGAGAGGGACCUACCCGGUUACCAAACCCAGUCAAACUACGAAUGGCUGCAAUUAUACCUGGGAGUCAGACUACGACUUAUAAGGGCCGUGGUCAAAAGGGAAACAGCCCAGAUCAUCAGCUAAGGUCCCAAAUGCCGUGCUAAGUGGCGAAGGAUGUGGCGUUUCAUAAACAACCAGGAUGUUGGCUCAGAAGCAGCCACCAUUUAAAGAGUGCGUAAUAGCUCACUGGUCGAGAGACGCUGCGCCGAAAAUGUCCGGGGCUCAAGCACGGAACCGAAGCUAUGGCAUUGCGUAAGCAAUGGGUAGGGGAGCGUUCUUAUGGGGAAGAAGCAUUACCGUAAGGAGAUGUGGACACAUAAGAAGUGAGAAUGCCGGUAUGAGUAUCGAAAAGAAAGGUGAGAAUCCUUUCCACCGAAAGCCCGAGGGUUCCUGAGCAACGAUCGUCGUCUCAGGGUAAGUCGGGACCUAAGCCGAGGCACAGACGCAUAGGCGAUGGACAACAGGUUGAAAUUCCUGUACCGGAUGGAGUCAUUUGAGCAAUGGAGUGACGCAGGAGGGCACAUGAUCGCGCGACUGGAAGAGCGCGUCCAAGUGCGUAUGUUGAAUCGGAGGCAAAUCCCCGAUUCUGAAAGCAGAGACAUGAUGGGGAGUUAUAAGCGAUUAUGACGAACUCAUGGAUCCCACACUGCCAAGAAAAACUUCUAGCGAGACGAAAUCCGCCCGUACCGUAAACCGACACAGGUAGGCGGGGAGAGAAUCCUAAGGUGCGCGGGAAAACCCUCGUUAAGGAACUCGGCAAAUUGCAUCCGUAACUUCGGGAGAAGGAUGGCCCUGAGUAGGCGAAGUGCAGAAACGCACGGAACAGAAAAGGGUGGCAGAAAAGAGGCCCAAGCAACUGUUUACCAAAAACACAGGUGCCUGCGAAAGCGAAAGCUGAAGUAUAGGUGCUGACGCCUGCCCGGUGCUGGAAGGUUAAGGAGAGAGGUUAGCGCAAGCGAAGCUUUGAACUGAAGCCCCAGUGAACGGCGGCCGUAACUAUAACGGUCCUAAGGUAGCGAAAUUCCUUGUCAGGUAAG